rnacentral:rRNA from 1 species
GACGAACGCUGGCGGCGUGCUUAACACAUGCAAGUCGAACGGAAAGGCCCUGCUUGCAGGGUACUCGAGUGGCGAACGGGUGAGUAACACGUGGGUGAUCUGCCCUGCACUUCGGGAUAAGCCUGGGAAACUGGGUCUAAUACCGGAUAGGAGCCAGUUUUAGUGUGAUGGUUGGAAAGUUUUUUCGGUGUAGGAUGAGCUCGCGGCCUAUCAGCUUGUUGGUGGGGUAAUGGCCUACCAAGGCGGCGACGGGUAGCCGGCCUGAGAGGGUGGACGGCCACAUUGGGACUGAGAUACGGCCCAGACUCCUACGGGAGGAAGCAGGGGGGAAUAUUGCACAAUGGGCGCAAGCCUGAUGCAGCGACGCCGCGUGGGGGAUGACGGCCUUCGGGUUGUAAACUCCUUUCGCUAGGGACGAAGCUUUUUGUGACGGUACCUAGAUAAGAAGCACCGGCUAACUACGUG